rnacentral:ncRNA from 1 species
GUCGUCGCGAGGCGGGGUCUGAAGGAAGCGUGGAGCAAAGCCACGACCUGACGAACAGAAACCAGAUAUGAGGCCUACCCGGCCGGACGAGCGAGCCGAUGAUCGCGAAGUCCAUAACCAUCAAGGCCCGGGGUGGUAGAUCUGGCAGGCGUGUGGCGAAGGCGGUUGUGC